AAGUUUUCCUCCAUAACUUCCAAAUAAACGUCGUAAUUUCGCUAAUAUUCCGGGGGCGCGGAGCUUACGUUUACGUACCUAAGUAAUAGAGUGCCUGAUAAACAAUUAAUUAAAAAAAAAAUCCAGAAGAACCGCGUUUAAAACAAUAAAUAUUAACGUGAAUCGUUCGUGUGUAAAACGGCUCACGGGGACUACACAUUAUGGCCAUUGGGCAACGGAUUUGUGUGCACUUGAAAUCCAUAAAAAGCGUUUGAAAACGUCAUAAAGGCCUAAAAAAAAAAAAAUCACUAAAAAUAUAUUAACAGAUCAAUAAAGCUAGACGGGGCUUAAAAGUCCUCCGAAGCAGAACCACUCUACCGCUUUUAUUUUUUUAACGAUUUAAGCGCUUUUGUGCUGUUUAUAAGUGCAUACUGCUCAAUAUAAAUCCGUUCACUAAUGAUUAUUAUUGAUAGCAUAGCAACAAUUUUUGCCAUCACGUAUUAACGUAGUAUCCCCAUUAACCUAUGUCGUGGUAUCACAAUCACCAUUUACAAUCGGUGAAUAAAACUUGCACGAAAAAUCAUGAGAGACGUUUUCGAAAACCCGACGCGG